rnacentral:rRNA from 1 species
UACGAAGGGGGGCUAGCGUUGUUCGGAUUUACUGGGCGUAAAGCGCACGUAGGCGGAUCGAUCAGUCAGGGGGUGAAAUCCCAGAGCUCAACUCUGGAACUGCCUUUUGAUACUGUCGAUCUGGAGUAUGGAAGAGGUGAGUGGAAUUCCGAGUGUAGAGGUGAAAUUCGUAGAUAUUCGGAGGAACACCAGUGGCGAAGGCGGCUCACUGGUCCAUUACUGACGCUGAGGUGCGAAAGCGUGGGGAGCAAAACAGG